UCCCGCCUGGGGAGUACGCACGCAAGUGUGGAACUCAAAGGAAUUGACGGGGGCCCGCACAAACGGUGGAAUAUGUGGUUUAAUUCGAUGCCACGCGGAGAACCUUACCAGGGCUUGACAUGUCCGGAAUCCCGGUGAAAACUGGGAGUGCCUUCGGGAGCCGGAACACACGGUGGUGCAUGGCUGUUGUCAGCUCGUGUCGUGAGAUGUUGGGUUAAAGUCCCGCAACGAGCGCAACACCUCGUCUUUAGUUGCCAGCAUUAAGUUGGGCACUCUAGAGAGACUGCCGCUGACAAACCGGAGGAAGAUGGGGAUGACGUCAAGUCAGCAUGCCCCUUACGCUCUGGGCGACACACGUACUACAAUGGUCGGGACAGAGGGCAGCGAACCUCCUGAGGCAAGCUUAUCCCAGCAAACUCGGCCUCAGUUCAGAUCGCAGGCUGCAACUAGCCUGCGUGAAGGAGGAGUCACUAUGUAUNGUCACUCGACUAAUAUACGGCGAUACGUUCUCGCGCCUUGUAUACACCGCCCGUCACACCAUGGAAGCUGCCACGCCCGAAGUCGUACCCUACCUGUCGGGGAAGGGACGCCGAA
rnacentral:rRNA from 1 species